rnacentral:misc_RNA from 1 species
UACGAAGGGGGCGAGCGUUGUUCGGAAUCACUGGGCUUAAAGCGUGCGUAGGCGGAUUGGAAAGUCAGGAGUGAAAUCCCGGGGCUCAACCUCGGAACUGCUUCUGAAACUCCCAAUCUGGAAUCCGACAGAGGUUAACGGAAUUCCGAGUGUAGAGGUGAAAUUCGCAGAUAUUCGGAGAAACACCAGUGGCGAAGGCGGUUAACUGGGUCGGUAUUGACGCUGAGGUACGAAAGCGUGGGGAGCAAACAGG